UGAUUUAUUUAGUGUUGCAUAAAUUAUGAGUUAAACAAAGUUACAGAGUCUGGUGAUUGUCUGUAAGGCAAGUGUUGUAAUGUGAAAUUGGCUGUACCAUUAAUGGUCUUGCAGACGGAUUAGAAGAACAAUAGUUAAUAGUUCACAAUGGCUUUUGUUCAAUAUUCCUUCAUGGAUGCAUUCAAGGAUCCCUCUUUACUUGUCUGGGCUGACCAGUGUAAUUGCCCAAUCAAGGGUCAGGUUGGGGGUUUUAAUAAUGUACCCCCUAAAGGAGGCUUUCUUUCAAGCCAGCCAGGGCAUGAUUUUGGCAGGAAAGGGGCAGAAGCAUUUAAAUUUUUGAAGAAGCAGGCUGUCUUACAAGUGUGCAAUCAAUGAUGCUGUUGUUUUCUUGGAAAUAAACACAGAUACCACAUACCAUUCUGGAUUUUGCCUUCUAUCACAAGCAAACAAAGACUGAGGAGUAGUGGAAUUGUUACCCAAUGCCCCAGAACCUAUGAUGCUUACUUGCCUACUGCAAAAAAGGAUUGUCAGGGGGAGAUAGAAAAUGCCAUGAAGCACAUCUCGAUUGGAAGAGACUGCCAAAGGACAAAGUUGUGGUGGCAAAGUAUAAAAAUUAUAACAAACCAAAGAAAAGAUGGAGAAUUUGACAGACAUGAGACAAACACCACCAACAAGCUAAUGGACAAGUCCCCCCAAAGAAAAAUCGUAAAAGACUUUGAAGAAUUAGGUUAUGCAUGCGCAAUUAUAGCUUCUAAUGGUGAGAGGGUUCUGAAUGGAUACUCCCAAAGAUACACACUGCUACACAAAAACAGAUGGGAACCCUCAUGCUAAAUGAAAUUUUCAGUGGAACAACAGAUGAAAAACAAGAAUGUCUUGAUAGGGAUAGCCUCUGAACAAAGGUUUCAAACAUGCUCAACAAGAAGUAUUUUGAAGGUAUUCCAGGAUGCAAGAGGAAAAUAGUGCGGUACACCAAAAUGGAUGAUUUAAAUGAAGAGGGGUUGCCAGAUGAAGUAGAGUUAAACAGAACUUGCCUUUAUGAUAAGUGGCAGGUAUGUGGUAUCGCUGCUGAAUCGUAUGUCUUCGAUAAAAUUCUCUGCCAAACAAGUUGUACAGGAACCCAACAUGAAAAUUGAAAUGGACUUUACAAUAUGAACAAGACCAACUAUGUGAGGGCCACACAAGAAGCACAAGAUGCCAUCCCCUGGGAUAGUGAUGAUAUGCAUCUCGCUGAUUUCAAGUCCACCAGCCAACCUAAACUGCCAGAUAAGCUGCCAUGUACUACCAAUCAUCCAGAUAUCCCUAACAUUGACCCUUUUUUCUCUCCUUCAGUUACCCCUGCUGUUAUCCCUGUCAAGUACAGGAAGCUAAUGCAAGGCGAUGAUACUCUGCAGCAAAAGCAAUAAUCAAAACAAACACAAAAAGAGAAGAAAAGAGGUACUACGUUGAAAAACAUCUGGAGAAAAAUGGCAACAGAUAUAAAGUGCAAUGGAGAGGACUUCCUCUGUCAGCGGCAAUGUGG